ACACGGAGGAUGCAAGCGUUAUCCGGAUUUAUUGGGUUUAAAGGGUGCGUAGGCGGUUUGCUAAGCGGGAGGUGAAAUGCCGGCGCUCAACGUCGGAAGUGCCUCCCGAACUGGUGGACUUGAAUGACUCUGCCGUGGGAGGAAUGUGUAGUGUAGCGGUGAAAUGCUUAGAGAUUACACAGAACACCGAUUGCGAAGGCAUCUCACGAAGGGUUGAUUGACGCUGAGGCACGAAAGCGUGGGGAUCAAACAGGAUUAGAUACCCUGGUAGUCCACGCAGUAAACGAUGAUGGCUAACCGCUGGGCUUAUCAGUUCAGUGGCCAAGCGAAAGCGAUAAGCCAUCCACCUGGGGAGUACGACCGCAAGGUUGAAACUCAAAGGAAUUGACGGGG
rnacentral:rRNA from 1 species